GAUGAACGCUAGCUACAGGCUUAACACAUGCAAGUCGAGGGGCAGCGGGCAGAAAGCUUGCUUUCUGUGCCGGCGACCGGCGCACGGGUGCGUAACGCGUAUCGAACCUACCACAUACUCAGGGAUAGCCUUGCGAAAGUAAGAUUAAUACCUGAUGUUAUUAAACGAUCGCAUGAUUGUUUAAUCAAAGAUUUAUUGGUAUGUGAUGGCGAUGCGUCUGAUUAGGUAGUAGGCGGGGUAACGGCCCACCUAGCCAUCGAUCAGUAGGGGUUCUGAGAGGAAGGUCCCCCACAUUGGAACUGAGACACGGUCCAAACUCCUACGGGAGGCAGCAGUGAGGAAUAUUGGUCAAUGGACGGAAGUCUGAACCAGCCAAGUAGCGUGCAGGAUGACGGCCCUCCGGGUUGUAAACUGCUUUAGUUCGGGAAUAACGACGGGGACGUGUCCCCGGAAAGAAUGUACCGAAAGAAUAAGGACCGGCUAAUUCCGUGCCAGCAGCCGCGGUAAUACGGAAGGUCCGGGCGUUAUCCGGAUUUAUUGGGUUUAAAGGGAGCGUAGGCGGACUGUUAAGUCAGCGGUUAAAGAGUGUGGCUCAACCAUACGAUGCCGUUGAAACUGGUGGUCUUGAGUGCACACAGGGAUGCUGGAACUCGUGGUGUAGCGGUGAAAUGCUUAGAUAUCACGAUGAACUCCGAUCGCGAAGGCAGGUGUCCGGGGUGUAACUGACGCUGAGGCUCGAAAGUGUGGGUAUCAAACAGG
rnacentral:rRNA from 1 species